rnacentral:rRNA from 1 species
GUGAGGAAUAUUGGACAAUGGGUGCAAGCCUGAUCCAGCCAUCCCGCGUGAAGGAUUAAGGUCCUAUGGAUUGUAAACUUCUUUUAUACAGGGAUAAACCUCUCCUCGUGAGGAGAGCUGAAGGUACUGUAUGAAUAAGCACCGGCUAACUCCGUGCCAGCAGCCGCGGUAAUACGGAGGGUGCAAGCGUUAUCCGGAUUUAUUGGGUUUAAAGGGUCCGUAGGCGGGCCGAUAAGUCAGUGGUGAAAUCUCGCAGCUUAACUGUGAAACUGCCAUUGAUACUGUCGGUCUUGAGUAAAUUUGAAGUGGCUGGAAUAAGUAGUGUAGCGGUGAAAUGCAUAGAUAUUACUUAGAACACCAAUUGCGAAGGCAGGUCACUAAGAUUUAACUGACGCUGAUGGACGAAAGCGUGGGUAGCGAACAGGAUUAGAAACCCUAGUAGUCC